rnacentral:tRNA from 1 species
GCCUUCGUGGUGUAACGGUAACACACUCGGCACGUAUUCCAGAGGUCCAGGCUCGAAUCCCGGCGUGGGCA